UACGUAGGGUGCGAGCGUUGUCCGGAAUUAUUGGGCGUAAAGAGCUUGUAGGCGGUUUGUCGCGUCUGCUGUGAAAUUCCAGGGCUUAACCCUGGGCUUGCAGUGGGUACGGGCAGACUAGAGUGUGGUAGGGGAGACUGAAAUUCCUGGUGUAGCGGUGAAAUGCGCAGAUAUCAGGAGGAACACCGGUGGCGAAGGCGGGUCUCUGGGCCGAUAUUGACGCUGAGGAGCGAAAGCGGUGGGGAGCGAACAGG
rnacentral:rRNA from 1 species